GAUAUGAUUUUACUGUGCGCGACACGAGCAGGUGUAUGACGUAAAACAGUCGGUCAAUGCAGUUAACCGUCCGCCAUCAGAAAACCUGUGUAACAUUUACACACAUCUCAUACCUAAAAACACAGCCGCGGUAUAUUCGCGUAAUUUCAUCACGCGGUGAAGCUGUAAUUACAGGAGAUUCAACAUGACAUAGGGGUCUUUGGAAUCUGACCUGACCUGCUCUGAACGGUCUCCUCUUUUUAGACGCCAGAGAAACAUUUUUCAAACUCUACGAUCAUGUCAAGUAGUUAUACUCCAGCCCCUGGGGGCCCUUUUUCGGCGCUCACUCCAAGCAUGUGGCCUCAGGAGAUCUUGGCGAAGUAUUAUCAGGUUACUUAUGGCAUUGUGGCUAGAUUGAGACAUUUUGAUAAAAGGGUCAUUCUGUGUCAACUCAACCAGAGGUUAACAUCCCUAAAAUUACCCUAUAGCUCAAAGAAAUAUAGAAUCUUAUAAAUAAACUAUUCAGAGCAAGUUAAUAUGCAUUAACCCGGUUAUUUUUGACAGUAACUUUGACAGUAACUGUUUAGUGCAGUUGUUUUAAU